CGACCUGAGAGGGUGAUCGGCCACAUUGGGACUGAGACACGGCCCAAACUCCUACGGGAGGCAGCAGUAGGGAAUCUUCGGCAAUGGACGAAAGUCUGACCGAGCAACGCCGCGUGAGUGAAGAAGGUUUUCGGAUCGUAAAACUCUGUUGUUAGAGAAGAACAAGGAUGAGAGUAACUGUUCAUCCCUUGACGGUAUCUAACCAGAAAGCCACGGCUAACUACGUGCCAGCAGCCGCGGUAAUACGUAGGUGGCAAGCGUUGUCCGGAUUUAUUGGGCGUAAAGCGAGCGCAGGCGGUUUCUUAAGUCUGAUGUGAAAGCCCCCGGCUCAACCGGGGAGGGUCAUUGGAAACUGGGAGACUUGAGUGCAGAAGAGGAGAGUGGAAUUCCAUGUGUAGCGGUGAAAUGCGUAGAUAUAUGGAGGAACACCAGUGGCGAAGGCGGCUCUCUGGUCUGUAACUGACGCUGAGGCUCGAAAGCGUGGGGAGCAAACAGGAUUAGAUACCCUGGUAGUCCACGCCGUAAACGAUGAGUGCUAAGUGUUGGAGGGUUUCCGCCCUUCAGUGCUGCAGCUAACGCAUUAAGCACUCCGCCUGGGGAGUACGACCGCAAGGUUGAAACUCAAAGGAAUUGACGGGGGCCCGCACAAGCGGUGGAGCAUGUGGUUUAAUUCGAAGCAACGCGAAGAACCUUACCAGGUCUUGACAUCCUUUGACCACUCUAGAGAUAGAGCUUCCCCUUCGGGGGCAAAGUGACAGGUGGUGCAUGGUUGUCGUCAGCUCGUGUCGUGAGAUGUUGGGUUAAGUCCCGCAACGAGCGCAACCCUUAUUGUUAGUUGCCAUCAUUCAGUUGGGCACUCUAGCAAGACUGCCGGUGACAAACCGGAGGAAGGUGGGGAUGACGUCAAAUCAUCAUGCCCCUUAUGACCUGGGCUACACACGUGCUACAAUGGGAAGUACAACGAGUUGCGAAGUCGCGAGGCUAAGCUAAUCUCUUAAAGCUUCUCUCAGUUCGGAUUGCAGGCUGCAACUCGCCUGCAUGAAGCCGGAAUCGCUAGUAAUCGCGGAUCAGCACGCCGCGGUGAAUACGUUCCCGGGCCUUGUACACACCGCCCGUCACACCACGAGAGUUUGUAACACCCGAAGUCGGUGAGGUAACCUUUUUGGAGCCAGCCGCCUAAGGUGGGAUAGAUGAUUGGGGUGAAGUCGUAACAAGGUAGCCGUAUCGGAAGGUGCGGCUGGAUCACCUCCUUU
rnacentral:rRNA from 1 species